rnacentral:lncRNA from 1 species
GAUUUUGUCUGGAUUGAAUUGAUGGUACAAUAUGUGCUUGUGCAUUUGGAUGGAUCUUGAAGGAAUUUGUCCUCUGGAGUGAAAAUCAACCUUUGCUUUUGAUGUAUUUGUAUUCUUUUCUAUAUAUUCUAUAUGGGCUUCUUUUAAUGGAGUUGUUGCUUGGUUCGAAUGUUGAUAAGUUUGUAUGUUUCCCUUUCUACUUCAGCAAUUAUACUG